rnacentral:rRNA from 1 species
GUGCACCAGGCGAGAAUCCUUCGCAAUGCAGGAAACUGCGACGAGGGAACUCCAAGUGCCUACGCUCAGCGUAGGCUGUUCUCAAGCCUAGAAAGCUUGAGGAGUAAGGGGCUGGGUAAGACGGGUGCCAUCUGUGGUAGCAGUCAAUAGAUUCGAUUUGUUACUGCAAGGCAUAAGCCGCCGCGGUAAUACCCGCAGCCCAAGUGGUGGCCGCUUUUAUGGGCCUAAAGCGUCCGUAGCCGGCCCGGUAAAUGCCUGGGGUAAAUCGUGGAGCCCAACUUCACGAAUUCCGGGUAGACUGCCGAGCUCGGGACCGGAAGAGGGAGAGGGGUACUUCGAGGGGUAGGGGUGAAAAUUUUCCUUUCCAUUAACGCUUUGCGCGAAGCGGAAAGGGUUAUCA